UGGGGAAUAUUGGACAAUGGGCGGAAGCCUGAUCCAGCAACGCCGCGUGAGGGAUGACGGCCUUCGGGUUGUAAACCUCUUUCAGUACCGACGAAGCGAAAGUGACGGUAGGUACAGAAGAAGGACCGGCCAACUACGUGCCAGCAGCCGCGGUAAUACGUAGGGUCCGAGCGUUGUCCGGAAUUAUUGGGCGUAAAGGGCUCGUAGGCGGUUUGUCGCGUCGGGAGUGAAAACAGCGGGCUUAACUCGUUGCUUGCUUUCGAUACGGGCAGACUAGAGGUAUGCAGGGGAGAAUGGAAUUCCUGGUGUAGCGGUGAAAUGCGCAGAUAUCAGGAGGAACACCGGUGGCGAAGGCGGUUCUCUAGGCAUUACCUGACGCUGAGGAGCGAAAGUGUGGGGAGCGAACAGGAUUAGAUACCCCUGGUAGGUCCACACCGU
rnacentral:rRNA from 1 species